GAAAGAAAACCUAUUCUAGAAAGGGAAAGGAGCUAAGAAUUCAAAAUUGCAACUCGAUCUUCAUGCCGACGAGAAUCAGAGUUGGUGCAAACUCGGCGUUGGAAAAUAGCGGUAUGAAUAACUUGGCGUUGGUGCAAAAUUUAUCAUUAAAAUCGAGGCCAGCACAGUGGGCAGUCCGAGAGGUGAAAAAUGUGGAUAAUCAUCGUCACGGGGCGGAGACGAAACAAUGUGAGAAGGAAUUGAGGCUACUCUUUCGCUGUCUGCUUUCAUUUUUCUUAUAUCCCAUAUCUGUUUGUACCAUAUUCCAUCGCAUUUACUGCAUCGGCCCAAGUUCGCGGAUCAACUAUGCACCAACAUCGAGUUAUUCAUACCCGUAUUUCCACCAAAUGAGUUGUUCUAUCAUCUCGAAGCUGCUAUGAUGAGUGGCUUUAACAUGAAUUUCAGAUAGAGAAGGUUCGAAAGGUCACAAAAGAGGCUGGUGAAGAAGUUGCUCGCAUCCGCAUUAAACUGGAUCAGGUCAUUAAGGCGCCAAGAUUUAAAAUAGCACCGAGAAUUCUCCACAAUUGUCUCUAUCAAAUUUGAAGAAUUUGCUACCUAUGUGACUAUGAUGUUUAUUACUAUGAGGAUGUCAUCGUCAAAACUCUGACUUACUUCCUUAGAUAAUAUAAGUGUUUUGUUGGAUGUCUGUUACUAAUGUUUUAUGCCUGGAUAGGGGAUAGUUAACGACCUUUGUUGUUUUAUUGUUUGGUUGUUGGAUAUGUAUCCCGAAAGAAUGUUUAUCUCCUUAUUUAGUUGUUGGAUAUGUAUCCCGAAAGA